UACGUAGGGUGCAAGCGUUAAUCGGAAUUACUGGGCGUAAAGCGUGCGCAGGCGGUUGUGCAAGACCGAUGUGAAAUCCCCGGGCUUAACCUGGGAAUGGCAUUGGUGACUGCACGGCUAGAGUGUGUCAGAGGGGGGGUAGAAUUCCACGUGUAGCAGUGAAAUGCGUAGAGAUGUGGAGGAAUACCGAUGGCGAAGGCAGCCCCCCUGGGAUAACACUGACGCUCAUGCACGAAAGCGUGGGGGAGCAAAACAGG
rnacentral:rRNA from 1 species